rnacentral:misc_RNA from 1 species
UCCGAGUUGACCCCGGCAUUCUAGCCCAGGUAAGGUUCUUCGCGUUGCGUCGAAUUAAACCACAUGCUCCACCGCUUGUGCGGGUCCCCGUCAAUUCCUUUGAGUUUCAGUCUUGCGACCGUACUCCCCAGGCGGAAUGCUUAAAGCGUUAGCGACGGCACCCGGGGACUAUGUAACCCCAGACACCAAGCAUUCAUCGUUUAAGGCUAGGACUAC